rnacentral:rRNA from 1 species
UACGUAGGGACCAAGCGUUGUUCGGAUUUACUGGGCGUAAAGGGCGCGUAGGCGGCGUGGUAAGUCACUUGUGAAAUCUCUGAGCUUAACUCAGAACGGUCAAGUGAUACUGCUGUGCUAGAGUGCGGAAGGGGCAAUCGGAAUUCUUGGUGUAGCGGUGAAAUGCGUAGAUAUCAAGAGGAACACCUGAGGUGAAGACGGGUUGCCUGGGCCGACACUGACGCUGAUGCGCGAAAGCCAGGGGAGCAAACGGG